AGUUCGCUAAACACAUUUGACUAUUCAGAGAGGAAGAUUUGUAAAUCGUUAAUAUGUUUAAAACUGAGAUAAUUGUGUCAAUAAUCUAUUAAUAUUAACUUCUAAAGCUUCAUGAACAUGUUGAACUUCCCGUUUGAGAAUCCACUUCAGUUGGGAACCUAUUAGUGACUCACGUUUGACGGAAGGUUCAAUGAAUUAGGAUUUGAUAUAUGUACCAUAUUGCUGAAGAGGACUCCAAAAAGAGUCGAAAUGUUCAAAAUAAAAAAUUCCUCACAAUCGAUUGUUACGUCCAAGCUCCGGAAAAUGGAUUUUAAGAGAGAAGGGAAUAGAAAGGAUGGAGUGUGGAAGAUCAGACUCUUGUCUCGCAGGUGUUAAAUUUGAAAUAAUAUUGGGACAAUGUCCAGUCCAUGAACCGAUAAGAAGAACACUAUUAGAACCA